UACGGAGGAUGCAAGCGUUAUCCGGAAUCAUUGGGCGUAAAGCGUCCGCAGGUGGCAGUUCAAGUCUGCUGUCAAAGACUGGGGCUUAACCCUAGAAAGGCAGUGGAAACUGAACAGCUAGAGUGCGGGAUGGGAGAGUGGAAUUCCUGGUGUAGCGGUGAAAUGCUUAGAUAUGAUACAGAACACCAAUUGCGAAGGCAGCUCACUAAACUAAAACUGACGCUGAGGCACGAAAGCGUGGGGAGCAAACAGG
rnacentral:rRNA from 1 species